AUUGAGCAUUUUUCCCUCUCGGAGCUGAGACAAAUGGCUGAUGAGUGAAAUCUUGAGAAUGUUCACAGCUUUUCUCUUUCAUUCUGUUGCAGCCCGGAAGAUGGUGAGAUCCAUCCAGAAAUCUGUCGGCUUUACAUCCAGCUGCAGUGCUGCUUAGAAAUGUAUACCACAGAGAUGCUAAAAUCCAUAUGUCUGCUGGGGUCUCUUCAGUUUCAUCGAAAAGGAAAGGAACCUGGCGGGGGAACCAAGAGUUUGGAUUGCAAAAUUGAGGAGAGUGCUGAAACACCUGCCCUAGAAGACUCCUCAUCAUCCCCCGUAGAUAGUCAGCAACAUUCCUGGCAGGUUUCCACAGACAUUGAGAACACUGAAAGAGACAUGAGAGAAAUGAAAAACCUUUUAAGCAAACUCAGGGAAACUAUGCCUUUACCAUUGAAAAAUCAAGUCAAAACUCGGCUCCACAAUGGUUUACUUUAAAUCAACUUUCAGUGGAGAAGAAAGGAAGGUGGCCAAGGGCAGGAAUUUUAAUGAUGACAGCAGCCUUCUGAAUCUAACUCCCUAC
rnacentral:sRNA from 1 species